ACAAGAAAAUCUGCCAGUUCUGUCUGUUGCUUCAGUGCUCUUUAAAAGAUUCAACUGGAUACAUCCCUGGGUGCCAUUUCUCACUUCUUCGCUUGGGAAAGGCAGAGGAAAGGAGCAAGGAGGAAUAUCUGUCAAUACAGUAAAACAAUGGAAAGAAAAUAAACACGUUGAAACAGUGA